GACGAACGCUGGCGGCGUGCUUAACACAUGCAAGUCGAACGGAAAGGCCCUGCUUUUGUGGGGUUCUCGAUUGGCGAACGGGUGAGUAUCACGUGAGUAACCUGCCCUUGACUUUGGGAUAACUUCAGGAAACUGGGGCUAAUACCGGAUAGGAGCUCCUGCUGCAUGGUGGGGGUUGGAAAGUUUCGGCGGUUGGGGAUGGACUCGCGGCUUAUCAGCUUGUUGGUGGGGUAGUGGCUUACCAAGGGUUUGACGGGUAGCCGGCCUGGGAGGGUGACCGGCGACAUUGGGACUAAGAGACGGCGCAGAAGGGAACGGGAGGCAGCAGUGGGAAAUAUUGCAGAAUGGGCGGAAGCCUGAUGCAGAAACGCCGCGUGCGGGAUGACGGCCUUCGGGUUGUAAACCGAUUUCGACUGUGACGAAGCGUGAGUGACGGUAAUGGGUAAAGAAGCACCGGCUAACUACGUG
rnacentral:rRNA from 1 species